rnacentral:rRNA from 1 species
UACGUAGGGUGCGAGCGUUAAUCGGAAUUACUGGGCGUAAAGCGUGCGCAGGCGGUUUUGUAAGACCGAUGUGAAAUCCCCCGGGCUCAACCUGGGAACUGCAUUGGUGACUGCAAGGCUUGAGUGUGUCAGAGGGAGGUGGAAUUCCGCGUGUAGCAGUGAAAUGCGUAGAUAUGCGGAGGAACACCGAUGGCGAAGGCAGCCUCCUGGGAUAACACUGACGCUCAUGCACGAAAGCGUGGGGAGCAAACAGG